rnacentral:rRNA from 1 species
UGAGGAAUAUUGGUCAAUGGAGGCAACUCUGAACCAGCCAUGCCGCGUGCAGGAAGACGGUUCUAUGGAUUGUAAACUGCUUUUAUACAGGAAGAAACACUCCCUUGCGAGGGAGCUUGACAGUACUGUAGGAAUAAGGAUCGGCUAACUCCGUGCCAGCAGCCGCGGUAAUACGGAGGAUCCAAGCGUUAUCCGGAAUCAUUGGGUUUAAAGGGUCCGUAGGCGGAUUGAUAAGUCAGUGGUGAAAGUUUGCGGCUUAACCGUAAAAUUGCCAUUGAUACUGUUAGUCUUGAAUAAUUAUGAAGUAGCUAGAAUAUGUAGUGUAGCGGUGAAAUGCUUAGAUAUUACAUGGAAUACCGAUUGCGAAGGCAGGUUACUAAUAAUUUAUUGACGCUGAUGGACGAAAGCGUGGGUAGCGAACAGG